UCCACCUCUGGACCCUGAUGCUACAGUUGAAAACACAACAAGAUAGCAACAAACACCACUAACCAACAAUAUAUGUAUAUAACUUUUCAAUUAAAAUCAAAGUUAUCCCAAUAUCCAAUAAGAUGGCAGCAGGAUAAAUGAAGUUGACUGAACCAAAGCUAUCACAUAAUAGAUUCUCACUUGCAUCUUUGAUUUUCAUCUUUCCCUAAUUAAUUCAAAGAGAUAUCCAAUUUAGAGAGAUAAACCACUUAGCUUGAUAUGAUGGCGUUUUUCAAAUAGAGCGGGCCCUUUGGAGACUGCAGAAUGUAGCAAAAUCGAAACCAUCACAGGCUUCCCACUAUUGAGCUCCAUCAAUUUUGGACUCUUGCCUCAAAUCUGGUUUUGAGAAAAUAGGGCUUUCUCCGUCGUCUUCUCCAGAGAGAAGGGCUGACUAUCGCUGCGAAACA
rnacentral:lncRNA from 1 species